GCAUAUCAAUAAGCGGAGGAAAAGAAACCAACAGGGAUUGCCCUAGUAACGGCGAGUGAAGCGGCAACAGCUCAAAUUUGAAAUCUGGCCUUUGGUCCGAAUUGUAAUUUGUAGAGGAUGCUUUUGGUGCGGUACCUUCCGAGUUCCCUGGAACGGGACGCCAUAGAGGGUGAGAGCCCCGUACGGUUGGAUGCCUAUCCUUUGUAAAGCUCCUUCGACGAGUCGAGUAGUUUGGGAAUGCUGCUCUAAAUGGGAGGUAAAUUUCUUCUAAAGCUAAAUACCGGCCAGAGACCGAUAGCGCACAAGUAGAGUGAUCGAAAGAUGAAAAGCACUUUGAAAAGAGGGUUAAAUAGCACGUGAAAUUGUUGAAAGGGAAGCGCUUAUGACCAGACUUUUGCCAUUCGGAUCAUCCGGUGUUCUCACCGGUGCACUUCGUUUGGUUUAGGCCAGCAUCGGUUUUCGUAGGGGGAUAAAGGUUUUAGGAACGUAGCUCUUCGGAGUGUUAUAGCCUAUUGCGUAAUACCCUUAUGGAGACCGAGGUUCGCGCAUUGCAAGGAUGCUGGCAUAAUGGUCAUCAGCGACCCGUCUUGAAACACGGACCAAGGAGUCGAACAUUUGUGCGAGUGUUUGGGUGUUAAACCCUCACGCGUAAUGAAAGUGAACGGAGGUGAGAGCCAUUUGGUGCAUCAUCGACCGAUCCUGAUGUUUUCGGAUGGAUUUGAGUAGGAGCAUAACUGUUCGGACCCGAAAGAUGGUGAACUAUGCGUGGAUAGGGUGAAGCCAGAGGAAACUCUGGUGGAGGCUCGCAGCGGUUCUGACGUGCAAAUCGAUCGUCAAAUCUGCGCAUGGGGGCGAAAGACUAAUCGAACCAUCUAGUAGCUGGUUACCGCCGA
rnacentral:rRNA from 1 species